ensembl:lncRNA
CCGCGCUCCUCCGGGCAGAGCGCGUGUGGCCGCCGAGCACAUGGGCCUGCGGGCCGAGCGGGCUCGGGGAGGCCGGGACGAGGAGGGGCGACGAGGAGCUGCGAGCAAGGAUGUGCCUCGGGACCCCCCGCACCUUCCCGUGGAUUUCCUUGCUGAAAGGAUGUUGGUGGACCCUGUGACCUGUGGAGACACGGCCAGAUCUGCCCUCCAGCCUGAUCUUUUGGCCAGAAGGAGAUUAAAAUGAUGCCCCUUAAGAUGGCUGUGCCUGUCAGCUGCAUGGAGCUUCGUUCGAGUAUUUUCUGAGCCUGAUGGAUUUACAGUGAUCUUCGGUCGUCUGAGGAAUAACUCUGGUGGAACAAUGCACUGGAAUGACACACGCCCUGCACAUUUCAGGAUACUAAAAGUGGUUUUGAAGGAGGCCCUGGCUGAAUGCCUCAUGGAUUCUUACAGCUUGGAUGUCCAUGUGGGAUGAAGGACCGCAGCUGGCUGCGAGGACUGAGAUCUCUGUUUACUUGGGUCUCUGCCAACUUCCUUUGGGUCUCCCUAUGGAAUGUAAGACCCCGACUCCUCCUGGUGAAGCGUCUGAUGCAUGUUCCGUCCGGCGCUCAGCUGGGCUUGAGAAUCCUGUUACACUUGGGAUUUAGGCACUUUCAAUCUGAAAAAAACAUAUCCCUUCAGCACUCUGGAUGGACUUGAGAAUUGUCCUUACCUGAACUAAAGCUGGAGUAUUUUGAGAUUGGAGAAUUAAGGACAGGAAAUUGAGGCUGUUCCCUUGACCUCUCCAGACAACUUCGUGGUGACUUCAAGCCCUCUUAUGAGGUGGUGGAUCAUAGCUACCGUUGAUUGAGAAGGACAGAAUAAUGGGCUCCAGAUUCACAAGCCCCACCAAGAGGAUCACCCCAGGAACCCUUGGAGGCUGAGGAAUUCACUGAGGCUAGUGCAUCUCGAGACUCAGGAUGAAGACCCAACUUGGGGCUGUCAAAGGUGCAACCUGCCAGCUGAGACCUCCAAGGGUCGAGCCCGGGCCCCUUUGCCUUGUUCAUGGCUUAGGCCAGUGCUUAGCAUAUAGUAAACAACUUGUAAAUGUUUAUGAGAGGAUGUGUGGGGGGUCAUCCCUUCGGAAUGGCACACUGUCCAUUAUCAUUGUCCUCAGAGGCUCCAGCCUCAGGUGCUUCUUAAACUUCGAUGGGAAUGAUGGCAGCAGGUGGGUCCAGGGCUCAGCACGAGAGCUCACAGCAGGCUGUGCUCCACCCCACGCAGGCCCCCAGUCUUGCCAUGUUUCCUCUGCCUCACCAGGCUGGCCUAGAAACUGCUUCCAACUGAAGCCAGCCAACAUGCCUGCCCCUAACCACACCUGCAACUCUAGGGUCACCGUUAGUCUAGAUUAGGGGCCCUUAAACUGUAGCCUUUGCCGGGCAUGGUGGCUCAUGCCUGUAAUCCCAGAACUUUAGGAGGCCGAGGCGGGUGGAUCACUUGAGGUAGGAAGUUCGAGACCAGCCUGGCCAACAUGGCGAAACCCCGUCUCUACUAAAAAUACAAAAAUUCACCAGACAUGGUAGCGCACACCUGUAAUCCCACCUACUUGGAAGACUGAGGCAAGAGAAUCGCUUGAACCUAGGAGGUGGAGGCUGCAGGGAGCUGAGAUCACACCACUGAACUCCAGCCUGGGCAACAGAGUGAGACUCCCUCUCAAAACAAACAAACAAACAAACAAAGAAACACUACAGCCUUUGGGCUAAAUCUGGUCAGUGUUCUGUGCUUGUAAGAACUCUGAGUUAAGAACAAUUUUUACGUCUCUCUAAAGGGUUGAAGAAUACAAAAAGAAUAUUUAACAGAGACCAUCUGGCUAGCAAAGCCUAAAAUAUUGACCCUCUGGUCCUUUACAGAAAAGGUGUGCCGGUCACUGGACUGGGCAGUGCCGACCGCACCCCGGGCUCCCUGUGAAAAUUUCAACCAUACACACUCAUCUCCUUUCUCUUAUCAACACUGAGGCAGGUGAGAUUAUCAUUCCUUGUAAACAUGGAGAAACUAAGGCACAGAGAGGCUUAACUCAUUUACCUGAGAAUCUAUUAAGUAACAGAGCCAGGGUUCCAACCCAGGCAGUCUAGCUUCAGAGUCCAUACCUCCUAGCUGCACUCUGGGCCAUCAGCGUAGGGACGAGCUUCAGACAAGAACUCCCCUCUUAGUUUCCGCCCUAUCCUGCCCCACAGCCAGUGGACAGGCAUUUUGCACCCCAGCCUCCCCCAGCCAGCUCCUCCUCAGAGAUUUCCUGCAGGGACUUAGACGGGGCUCUGGGACCAUCCUCCUUUUCUGCCCCACCCGGCACCUGGAACUCUGCUUGAUCCUGCUCCCUCUAAGGCUGGACACGUCUCCAUGAGCCAGGCCUGAAGUUGUUCCCCUCUCUGGACCUCAGGACCUCCCUUCCUAGGAGCAAUUCCUGUAUCCCCUAUCCUCUCUGCCUUCCCCUCUUCCCACCAUGUCCUUCCAAUAAGGGGCUGGAUUUGUAGUGUGCAGCCUUGGGAACAGGGUUGGGCUCAGGGAUUGGGAGCAGAGGCCCAGGGCUCUGACUGACCCUCUGUCAUCCCCAGGAGGAGAAGCUGCUGUAUUUAGAGUGUCACAAAGAAUAGUGUUGGAGGCUUCAGAAACCAUGGGAGAUUCUGAACUUCUAGGCUAAGCAGAUGGGAUGGUGUCUCUGUGAUCAACAGGCCUGGUAGAGGGAGGCAGGAGGGGGUGAGAAUGGAAAGACAGCUGCCAAGGGGAACAGAGAGCUUUUCAAGUCACCGUUGUCCCCUCCCCACCUCACCAUCAGGGCUAAGACUAAACCUAACCAUCCGGUUGCAGCCCCUCGGCCCUGGGGAUGGAGAUUAGUGUGCAUAGAAUGAAGGUACAGAGGCCAUGUUCUGGCUGUGUGACCUUGCACAGGUUGCAUAACACUCUGUGCCUCACUUUACUCAUUUUUAAAAUGAUGAAGAUGAUAACUACCUGGCAGGGUCUUAUAUUAGAGAUAAUACGGUUCCCAGCACUUUGUAAGCACUCGGUGUGAAAUUGUCUUCUGCUGCUUCCCUUAUCAGUCCACCCCUCCUCUGCAGAGGUUUCCUCCAUGCUGAGCAAGCUGGCAGUAACUAAGGCCCUGCUGGGCGCAUCCCUAGUGCCUUCUGCCCAGGCCUCGGGACCCCCAGGGAUCCUGGCCCCUGUGGACAGGGACUUUUGUGCUCUCCUUCACUGUUACCAGCAAGAGUGAGUCCUGCACUGAAUUUCCAUGGAUCAUUGUUUGCUAACAUUUGUGUGUGAGUUACCGUCUAGAAAGCAGCUUUUCUGGCCUUUUCCCAUUAAUUUCACGAAAGUUAUCUUCCUUUGCCGUUACUGCAGUCCUGUGAGAGGUUCAUUACCCCAUUUUACAAACAACUAAUUGCUCCCAGAUGAAGUGACUCCCCCGGGGUCGCCUAGCUAAGCAGUGGAGAGUGGGUCUCCCACCCGGCCCUCUCACUGUGACUCCUGUUCUCCGCGUCAUUGCAUAUGGCGACAUGUGGGUCACGUUUUCACACAUCCCUGGCUGAUAUGGAAUGGUGAGCUUCUCCUGGGUCUUCCGAGGAGGGAUGCUUUCAGGGGUGUUUUGGAAUGAAGGCAGUGGAGGCCAAGAGACCUCUAGGUCAAAGCCAGGCAGGAGGGUCCUCUCAGGGACCCAGCCAACAAGUUGCAUUUCUCCCCCAGAGGCUUGAAGAGGCAGAACACCCGAGAGGAGUCUGGGGCCACCACCCAGCGUCACUGGGAAAACGGCAGCAGGAAAUGUUCUCUCACCUGCGUGCUCCACCUCUGUCCACGCCUUCCCUCCUUCUGGAAGCCUUGCCUGACCACUGGCCUGCCCCUUCUAUGGGAAUCGCUGCUGACCUUGCAGCUCACUGUAGACUUAUAUGUAUGCAGAAAUAUAAUUUUAAUUACUUUUGUAUUGCUCCAAGAGUGAUACCGAAUCACAACAGAAAAUUUAAAUAAACAAACUAGCCAAAUUAAUACAAGCAAUCACCCCAGUCAAAUACACCCAGCUCACAUUUUGAUGUAAAAUCUUCCAGUACAUUUCCUAUGUACAUAUAUAUUUUUAGGAAGGAGAUUAUAUUUUACAUGCUGUUUUCUAAAACGUUCUUUUAAAACUGUGUCAUAAACAUUUUUCCUUAUAAUUAAAUCGUCUUCUACAAC